rnacentral:lncRNA from 1 species
AUUGUAGGCUCCAAUGUACACACAUGAUUUCAGGGAUUGUGCGUGUAUGAUAUGAGUUGUUUAUUUCGGCAUUAUAAAGAAAAACAUUUACAAACAUGGCAACUCUGCCAUGUUGAUCUGAGCCUUACUGUUGAAAAAACACAUUUGUGUCCGUCUUUCAGCUGUCGCAGACGCACCUCCCCCGACUUCACUCAUGGGCUUUCGUCUACUACUGUCUGUUCCUUAAAAGCACUUCGUCCCACGAUAUAUGAGGGAGUACCAUACGAUGUUGCACAGGUGUGUGUGUAUCCCAGCCUAGCCGCUACUACUCUUCACUGAGUGGGUCCGGGAUGGCCCGAGGGGUUGGCUGUUAUCUUUGGUUAUCUAGCUGUAUGAGUGGUGUACAUUCUUCAUAAAGCUAGAUAACCGAAAGUAACAAGAAUCCCAUUACGCUCCUGCGCGGCCGGUCUCUUGUGCCAACCAAAAAAACACGAAAUGGGCGACGCUCGCGAGGAAGUAACUGUCGUUUGUGCCCAGCCGACCAAUCAGAAGACUUAAAGGUUUUUUUGUCAUCUCCAAAUCCUCCUGGUGUUUGAGUCUCUUCACAUGACCCAUUUCUAAGGUGACCCAUCACAUUGAAGUUAUGUCACAGCCAGUCCACCACCUUCCGACGGCCACCCCACCUCACCAAUGGUGAGGUCCAUUUCCGAACGUAGUGGUGCCCACCUGACCUAAAUGGAACCGGAUUGGCUCCUCUUCCAUUUUUCUCUGCCCCAGUAUUUAAACCUGAAGCCCUUUGUGGACGUUGAACGAUCUCCUUUUGGUUGGGGUGAACUUUAGGCACAUGCCUGGACAUGCCUGACAAACUGAAAAUGGGGUAAUGUACUGUUGGGUCAUGGAUACCAGUGGAUACCCAACCACAGCUGCCUCUGUGGGCUUCAUCCCCAGACCGUCUUUGGAUACACCAAUCAAAGGACAAGUUGAAAUGGACCACUGUGAACUAGUGUGUCUCUGUCCUCCUACAACUAACUGACUGGAUACAUGGACAGAAAUGGAGGGUGUGAGAUGUGUGUGUUCUGUGUUGUGAUGGUACACUGUCUUCUCUGAGACGACUCUACACACAGCUGUGUCCGUCACAUCUGCAAUACAUUCGACACGGGUCAGCAUGCUGAUCUGUUCAUGUGUGCUGUGCUUGUUUGUGUAUAUGUGCUUGUUUGUCUAAGCGCAUACACUUUGAGUCACCCUCACUCAGAGCAAGUUCUGUUCUGGGAUUGUAAGCAACACACGCACACACAUCACAAAUCAUAGUAAAUGUCUUUUAACCUCCUUAUGGUUAACGGACAUAGGAUUUAUCAUGUGCUUAUGCUACCUGGCAAAAAUAAUAUUUGCAACUGGAGGAGGUUGUAUGGUUUAGUAGUAGAAUCGCACUGCAGCACUGAUUUUAUUAUCAAGGGGAGGAUACAACUGGUAAAUAAGUAUCUUAUAUUGGACAGCCCACAUAGUAUUCAGAUCAUUUAUGUAUAGAUAGAACACGUACAAUUAAUUAAAAUAAAACAUAGAAAUGUGCUAAUUGAGUGAUUUAAACAAUUGUAGUAUAGAAAUCAGAGUAGGACGAUAAUUUAUGUGUUAUUUAGUUUACAUAAUGGAUAUGAAUACUAGUUUAGUUAGAAUUUCUCAAAUUAUUUUCAAAAUGUGAAAAUGUGUGUAUUUUUUGUUGUUGUGUAUAUUAUUUCUAUGCAUCUUUUGAAACCUAUGCAAAUGAAUCCACAAAGUAGAUAUUUUAGAAUUUGCUAAUGACGAUCAUUCAAUUUCUCAGAGGGUUUAGAUUUUUCCCCAGACAAUCUGUUGUAUACUGUAGGGUGAUGUGAGAGAUUAGAAAUGAAAGUGCAAUACAGGAACGUUUCUGAGCCCUGCUCCAGACAGCAAAAUAUGUUGGGAUUUUACAGCGUUUUUCUCAACUGAUUUGGAUUUUUAGAUAUUUUUUAGAAGUGUAUCAAUAUCAAAAUAUAAACAUUGGAAUGUUUAAUUUGCUUAACUGUCUGAGUCUUAAAUUAACGGAUUGACUAGAAAGUUGCAUAUACAGUUUUCCAAACAAUUAUUUUGGGAUUUCAUGUGAACAUUUUUACUCUAUGCAACUUUUAUACUUUGUAACUUUUUGUAAUAAAUAAUAUGACUAUCAUUCGGAGCAACUGCAAUUCAUAUUUGUUUCACUGUUUAAGACUUCAUUUGAGAAACUAUGCAAUGGCUGUAUACUAAAUGUGUUUGAUAGUGUGAUGUACUGUACGGUUUUACAACAAUGUGUACUCUACAUGAACAACAAAUGUGUACUCUUUGAGCAUAGUAUGUAAUAGCCUGUAAAUAUACUGUACGUUAUCAAGACCGCACUAUAUGUAGUUGGUUAUGGGCAAUUUGUUGUGGGGAAUGUGCAAUCAGAGUGCAUGUGUGCACUACAUGAGUUUAAACUGUAAACAGUCAGGGUGAAGUGUGUGUAGAAUGAUGCAUCAUGUAGAAAGCAAGAGUACAAUAGAUGGAAUGUGUGCAAUGUGUGUGGAGGCAUGCACUACGCUGAGGGUGAGUGCAAUGUUUUAAUGACAAUGUUGGAUUUUAAAGAGAUGUUUGCAUGAGUGCACUAUGGCCCACAAGAUCAUAGACUAUGUUAGGCAUGUUUGCAAAUGACCUGUGAAUCCUGACUGUAGGGGACUGACUCGUUCUUGUACCAUGGACUCUGUACGAUUAAGUCAACACAAUAAAUGUUUACAUUUAAAAAAAAUAAAAACACAUGUCUGUCUGGAA